rnacentral:rRNA from 1 species
GACCUGCGGAGGGAUCAUUGCUGGAACGCGCCCCUGGCGCACCCAGAAACCCUUUGUGAACUUAUACCUUACUGUUGCCUCGGCGCAGGCCGUCCUUACGGGACCCUUGGUAACAAGGAGCAGCCGGCCGGUGGCCAAGUUAACUCUUGUAUUAAUUUGUCUCUCUGAGCAUAAACAUAAAUGAAUCAAAACUUUCAACAACGGAUCUCUUGGUUCUGGCAUCGAUGAAGAACGCAGCGAAAUGCGAUAAGUAAUGUGAAUUGCAGAAUUCAGUGAAUCAUCGAAUCUUUGAACGCACAUUGCGCCCUCUGGUAUUCCGGAGGGCAUGCCUGUUCGAGCGUCAUUUCAACCCUCAAGCCUGGCUUGGUGUUGGGGCACUGCUUUACCCACAAGCAGGCCCUGAAAUAUAGUGGCGAGCUCGCCAGGACUCCGAGCGUAGUAGUUAAACCCUCGCUUUGGAAGGCCUGGCGGUGCCCUGCCGUUAAACCCCAACUUUUGAAAAUUUGACCUCGGAUCAGGUAGGAAUACCCGCUGAACUUAAGCAUAUCAAAA